GAGACUCUAAAUAGAUUUCUGAAAAUAUUUCCCUGAAAUAUCCUUUUACAUAAGACAAAUUCACUAACAUUAGAUUAAGUAAAAAGAAAUAAAAGAGUUAAACAUGGCACAAAGGUGCAUGAUUAACCAAUGCUCCUCAGUCCAUCUGCAUGUCUUAGGAGCCAUUAAAAGAAUGCUUAAAACUAACAAACAAUCUUCACACUCUGUGGCAGCCAUCUGUGAAGCCAGUUACACUAAACUACUUCUACAGUUGAUUGUAAACUUUGGUUUAUUUUUAUUUGAGUUCUCAUUGUACAGCAAGCAUGAAAAAAAAAGAGAGUGGAGUCCGUGAGGAGAUGAACUGUCAGUCUGUCUUUAAUCUGGCAUGAUGAGACACCUGGUCAGUCAGGCCUGCUUUGAUAGAGUUUGUUACAGACUGCCUUAUGUUUUCCUCCAUCAAAUUAUCACCCAGGGGCUUCAUUUCCUCUUAUUCAAACCAUUUACAAUUCCUAUGAGAUGGAUGUGCAAUUCCAUACCCUAUAUGCAGCAUCAAAUCUGGUAUGUAUACAGCAUUUAUGCAGACCGGCCCAGACGGUCCUGCUUAUUGUCCUACAUGUGUAAGUGUGAACACUUCAGAUAGAGAAAAAGGUUAAAAAUACUGUCUAAUUUUUCUUCUUGUUAUUGUUGGAUGACAGUCUCUGUCGCUGUGCUGAUGAAAGAGCACGGUGAACCAUUCGACGUCUAGUAACUUCAAACAGUUUGGAAAACACCUAAAACAUGAAGUGAUUUGUUAGGAGAAUGAAUCAGAGUGCCUCGAAGCUAAAGAGUUUAAGACUACAAGAAUUUGAGACUGUAGGUUUCUCACCUUCCUGGGACUCCUCUGAAGCAAAAGAAAAGAGAAAUGCAAAGAAAUUUAGACAAGGUUUGUUGACACAGCACAGAUCUCUGACUAGCUGAUUACCUUACCUAAACUAUACUGAAAAUGAUUUUAUACACUUUAGAUUCUUCCAUUUAAUUGUUUU
rnacentral:lncRNA from 1 species